UACGUAGGGUGCGAGCGUUGUCCGGAAUUAUUGGGCGUAAAGAGCUUGUAGGCGGUUUGUCGCGUCUGCUGUGAAAAUCCGGGGCUCAACCCCGGACUUGCAGUGGGUACGGGCAGACUAGAGUGUGGUAGGGGAGACUGGAAUUCCUGGUGUAGCGGUGAAAUGCGCAGAUAUCGGAAGGAACGCCGGUGGCGAAAGCGAGUCGCUGGAUCUCUUCUGACGCUGAUGCGCGAAAGCCAGGGAGACAAAGCGGG
rnacentral:rRNA from 1 species